UACGUAGGGUGCAAGCGUUGUCCGGAAUUAUUGGGCGUAAAGAGCUCGUAGGCGGCUUGUCGCGUCGACUGUGAAAACCCGCGGCUCAACUGCGGGCCUGCAGCCGAUACGGGCAGGCUAGAGUUCGGUAGGGGAGACUGGAAUUCCCGGUGUAGCGGUGAAAUGCGUAGAGAUCGGGAAGAACAUCGGUGGCGAAAGCGCUCUACUGGGCCAUAACUGACACUCAGGGACGAAAGCUAGGGGAGCGAAUGGG
rnacentral:rRNA from 1 species